UUUGGUGUGAAUGCAUGGACAAAGGAUAAUAUAUAUGUUGUUGCGUGUUAUGUGUGUUUAUAUUAUAGCAAUGAAGGUAUAUAGCUAUAGAAGGUUGGGAAGUUAUCUAUAUUAGUUUAGCGGCUGAGUUUAAAAUCGUUAAGUUGAGUGUACUGUGGGGUAUGAUGGGAUACUGUUAGUAGUACAUAAUAUUCCUCGGAUCUACAUGAACGUAUAUAGCUAGUUAGGAAGCUGUUUUAUGGUACUCUGGGGGAAGAUGGGACACCAUUAGCACAUAAUAUCCAAACAUCCUGAUCGUGUUUUAAACAAAUAACAAUGGUCAAUGGGAGUCGUGAGGAUACGGUUGUUUAACAAAAGCCAAUUUAGAAUACGGUUUUGUAUUUCGUUAAAUAUUUUUAUUUACUACCAAAUGGGACGAUAUAACAUUACAAUGACAUUUGUUAAACCACGCCACGGAUAUUUCGAAUUAAAUUAUUAAACAUAGACACUAAAAUGGUUGUUUUUCAGCUGUUAGACUCAUUAUAGAUAUGAAACUGUUUACGAUUUGCCUCGUCCUGUUAUUGGUUGGCAAACUUUGCGAAGGUAAAGACGACGUACACAGAUACCAGGUAACGUUGGAUAAGGCGGCUUGUCCAGACGGUGAUUGUUAUAAGAUGGUUCAGGAAAAAGUGAAAGAACUCGAAAUCGAGAAUGACGUAAAGAUUGACGUUCAAGAAUACGAGAAGUUUCAACACCAGGACCUGUGACGUCACAAUGGUCUAACCCAAUGGCGGGAAAUUUAAAUUUUCAAGAAACGUCCAUUGUAACAAUUUUUACGUCAUACAGAAUAUUGUUACGUCACUAGUAGAGCAUCAUACUCGCACUUAAAUACACAGAACUGUAAAACUAGAA